AGUGAACGCUGGCGGUAGGCCUAACACAUGCAAGUCGAACGGCAGCACAGUAAGAGCUUGCUCUUACGGGUGGCGAGUGGCGGACGGGUGAGGAAUACAUCGGAAUCUACUUUUUCGUGGGGGAUAACGUAGGGAAACUUACGCUAAUACCGCAUACGACCUACGGGUGAAAGCAGGGGAUCUUCGGACCUUGCGCGAUUGAAUGAGCCGAUGUCGGAUUAGCUAGUUGGCGGGGUAAAGGCCCACCAAGGCGACGAUCCGUAGCUGGUCUGAGAGGAUGAUCAGCGACACUGGAACUGAGACACGGUCCAGACUCCUACGGGAGGCAGCAGUGGGGAAUAUUGGACAAUGGGCGCAAGCCUGAUCCAGCCAUACCGCGUGGGUGGAGAAGGCCUUCGGGUUGUAAAGCCCUUUUGUUGGGAAAGAAAAGCAGCAGGUUAAUACCCCGCUGUUCUGACGGUACCCAAAGAAUAAGCACCGGCUAACUUCGUG
rnacentral:rRNA from 1 species